CGGAUGACGGGAGCUUGCUCCUUGAUUCAGCGGCGGACGGGUGAGUAAUGCCUAGGAAUCUGCCUGGUAGUGGGGGACAACGUUUCGAAAGGAACGCUAAUACCGCAUACGUCCUACGGGAGAAAGCAGGGGACCUUCGGGCCUUGCGCUAUCAGAUGAGCCUAGGUCGGAUUAGCUAGUUGGUGGGGUAAUGGCUCACCAAGGCGACGAUCCGUAACUGGUCUGAGAGGAUGAUCAGUCACACUGGAACUGAGACACGGUCCAGACUCCUACGGGAGGCAGCAGUGGGGAAUAUUGGACAAUGGGCGAAAGCCUGAUCCAGCCAUGCCGCGUGUGUGAAGAAGGUCUUCGGAUUGUAAAGCACUUUAAGUUGGGAGGAAGGGCAGUAAGCUAAUACCUUGCUGUUUUGACGUUACCGACAGAAUAAGCACCGGCUAACUCUGUGCCAGCAGCCGCGGUAAUACAGAGGGUGCAAGCGUUAAUCGGAAU
rnacentral:rRNA from 1 species